rnacentral:rRNA from 1 species
CAUAGCGCCUGUGCUUUUCGGUACCCUAAGGCGGUACCAGAAUAAGGGCUGGGCAAGACCGGUGCCAGCCGCCGCGGUAAUACCGGCAGCCCAAGUGAUGGCCGAUCUUAUUGGGCCUAAAGCGUCCGUAGCUGGCCACGCAAGCCCAUCGGGAAAUCCACCUGCCCAACAGGUGGACGCCCGGUAGAAACUGCGUGGCUUGGGACCGGAAGGCGCGACGGGUACGUCCGGGGUAGGAGUGAAAUCCCGUAAUCCUGGACGGACCGCCGAUGGCUAAAGCACGUCGCGAGAACGGAUCCCACAGUGACGGACGAAAGCCAGGGUCUCUAACCGUAUUAGAUACCCGGGUAGUCCUGGCCGUAAACAAUGUCUGCUAUGUGUGGAUCCCACUACUAGUGGGUGCUG